rnacentral:pre_miRNA from 1 species
UCUUUUUCCAUCGUCUCUAUGAGCAAUAAAAAAAAAAUAUUGCUCAUUGAGACGAUGGAAAAACU